GACAGAGGUGCCAAGCGUUAGGCGGAAUCACUGGGCUUAAAGCGUGUGUAGGCGGAAUUCUAAGUACCUUGUGAAAUCCCACAGCUCAACUGUGGAACUGCUCGGUAUACUGGUUUUCUUGAGCCACUUAGGGGCUGUCGGAACAAGCGGUGGAGCGGUGAAAUGCGUAGAUAUCGGAAGGGACACCGGUGGCGAAAGCGGCGCGCUGGAUCUCUUCUGACGCUGAGGCGCGAAAGCCAGGGGAGCGAACGGG
rnacentral:rRNA from 1 species